rnacentral:lncRNA from 1 species
GCCAACUGCCAAGUAAGUCCAUACUAAUUAAACUAAUUCAGGACAUAACCACUGGUGGUUUCAUGGGCCCAGUGGACACACUGUGAGACGGAUUGGGUCAUUUGUUACCUGAUUCCCACAGUCCCCGUCCUAACAGGAGAGGCAUGAUGGCACUUCAGAUAUGAGUAUUGGCUCAGACCAUAGCCAACUGCCCUCAAAAACCUGGUUACUUUUUCCAGAGUGUGGUGGUUACUCAAGUAGAAUGCCAUGGGUCUUUAUGGAGAAAGACUGGAGGCCUCGCUACUGUAUAUACUCACCAUAGUGUUACGGGGUUCUUUCUAACAGAAACCAGGCCCUGCUUUAGUCAAUGUCAAUGGGUUCUUGGUCCAAAAACAGGUUCAAGACUGGAAAAUGGGCAAAGGACCACGACUUUCUGUGAACUCCUCUUGGUUUUUUCUUUUUAUAACAUAAAAUUCAUCAUUUUAGAGUGUGUAAUUCAGUGGUGUUUAGUCUACUUCUCUUUGUAUGGAUUUGCCAGAUACUGGACAUUUCAUACAAAUGGAAUCCUACGAUGUGUGUCCUUCUGUGCCUGGCUUCUUUCACUUGGCAUGAUGUUGAGAACAGCUUCAUCUGGGUUGUAGCAUGUGUCAGGCAACUUCCCAUUUAUGGCUGAUUGAUAUUCCAUGGUAUGAAUAUGGGACAUUUUGUUUGCCCAUUCAUCCACGGUUGGACAUUUGAGUGUGAAUCCAUUCUUAACCCUUUUAUUUAUGUAUAUUGAGCAGUACUCUGGAUAGUUGCCCAUCUACUCUGCCUCUAGGGACAUCCUGUCCUAUUGGCCAUCUUCAGUCCAUGUAUCUCUGAAAAUUAGAACACUUACCCCCUUUCUCUUUGUUCUGACCUUGUGGCUCAUUCUAUUACAGUAAUUAUACCCACCUUGAAGAAGCAAGUGCUGCAGUGAAGUGCUGCUGCCUGGUCCUUGCUAGUCAAGAUUCUAGCAUCCCUCCUGCUCCUGGAGAGCCCUGCUCCGUGGUAGCAUCUCCGACCACCAGACCUGGCUUGUUGAGGAUGGCUACCACUGAGCUUUUUAGCAAUACUGGUGCUACCCUCACCAGCAAGCUCCUUGUCACCAUGAUACCACUCAGAUGGAAUUAAGACCCCACUCUAAUAAUCUCAUUUUAACUUAACUACCUCUUCAAAGGCCCCAUCUCCAAAUACAUUCAAAUUCUGAGAUACUAGGGGUUAUGACUUCAGCAUAUGAAUUUGGAGGGAAUGCAGUUUGGCCCCUAACAGCAUGAAAUUUACUUGCACCCUGACAAGGAACAUUGAUGGGCAGUUGGUCCUGUGUCUCCUCCUGGCUCUGCCCAUCUGUGGACUGCAGCGCACUGCUCACGGGCCCUUGUUGGAUGACGAUUCCUGCUUCAGCAGCAUCCUUCUCCUUUCCGUACAACCUCACUGCCUAGUCACAGCUGAACGCAGCGUGGAGAGUUUAUUCUCAGUAGAGUGUGAGGGGCUUAUAGUUCCUGACGUGCUCUCCCUUCCUGAAUGAUACGCUUUGGGAAGAGUGAGGGAGCAAGGUAGAGAACAUGGUUUUUGGACAAGAGCUAGGUCAGACUAAGGAGGGAAAGACUGUCUUCCAGUCGCCGGUUCCCUCCAAGCCCUUGGGGGACUGCUUGUAUCACCGAAACCUGGAAACUGAGUCAGGGUCCCACUACAGCGCCGACUGCCUGUGGUCCUUUAAUUGUUCUGAACAUCGUUUCCUUCACCAGUGAAGCAAAUGCUGCCUUCGUAUCUACCCUCUGUGUUCUCAUCGAUGUGUGUGAUGUUUCACGUGACAGAUCAGUGCUUGUCACACAGAUGCCGCAAUACCCUGACUGGCCAGGGAUCACUGAUGAGGGCUUCCACGACCACUUGCCUUUUGCUCCCUCAUCUCGGGAUGGCCUCUGAAGGCACCUGCUCAUGUUGGGGGCUGCGUCCCCUGCAGUUCAGCGAAGGCACCUCUGUGCUGCUGAGCGCUCAAGAGGUCAUGAACCAGGCUUUGUAGGGAAAGUGUCGGCAGGAUGGUGGCGCAGUCCUGGAUCUUGGAGGAAUGUUAGAUGCUUUCCGUGAAAUCCCCUCAUUUUACAGCUGAGAACCCUGCACUUUGGAGAACCCCAGAGCUGCUUUCUGUGAAGCAUGGAGAAAAUAAGAAUGUGAACACAGGCCCCUGGACUCCCUCCAGAGCCUCGGUUUCCCUCCCCACUUCACUGAGAAAGAAACUAUGAGGUUGGCUGGGUGCGGUGGCUCAUGCCUGUAAUUCCAGCAGUUUGGGAGGCUGAAGUGGUCAGAUCACCUGAGGUCAGGAGUUUGAGACCAGCCUGGCCAACAUGGCGAAACCUUGUCUCUACUAAAAAAAGAGGUCGGCUCAUCUAGAUCUUUGUGAAUGAUAAAUACAAAUUUUAAACACAUAGCUGCAUUUAACAGUUGAAACAAGCCAUUCUGAGUUUGAGAACACAGCCUUCCCAGGUCCAGUUGAACUGGAUGGGGCCUUGUGCCGGGGUCUGCUCUGAAUAGCAGCCUUCAUGGAGUUGCCUUGUCUGUGUCAGAUGUCCCCUUGGGCCUUUCCAUAGCCAAGGGGACCAAUGGUGGCACCAAUGGGCUGACAGAGGAAGACUGGGAGCCCAGUGGCUGCACAUGUCCCACGGACACCCACUUGUCUAAUGACAAUGCUUUGGGCUGACUAAAUCAGCAGCGGAGAGGGAACCUGAGAGGCGGGAGGAGAAGCAGAGCAAGGCAGAGUCGGGGGACCGAGUCCUCCAGGAGGCAGGGCCAGCCCAGCAUGGGAAUUGGGGGCUGGGGGAGGAAGGGCAGAGCCUGGCCCAGGCCUGGCACACAGCAGAUGCCAUGCUGUCAACUCAGGGCUGGUGUGGAUAGGCUCAGCCUCUCUCUGGGGUCUCUCUCUGAGCCUCUGAGCAGGUGGGCCCUGCAGAGGCCCUCAGAGGCCAUUGGAGUCCAUGAACAUUCUCCAGGGCCAGAGAAGACCAUAGAGACAGCAGAAGGAGGAAUGCCCUCCUUCCACCAGAAGCUCAGCGCUUUGCAGGGCCAGAGGGCCGUUAUUGUGGUAGGGUGGUGGUGAUGGUGACGAUGAUAACACUCAAAUCCAUGGACUAGGGGGAGACUGUCACCUCACAUACCCCCUGACACCCAACUGCCAGCCCACGCUUGAGAUAUGAUGACAAAAUCUUCGUGCUUGGGCUCCACAGCCUUUUGCUCCCGCUAAGGGACAACUCUCCCUGGGAUGGGGACUUAUCUCAUUGGGCUGGGCUCAGGGAGUUUCCUGGAGGUGUGCUUUGCUGGGGAAGAUGGCAAAGAGCAGGUCCCUGGGGUAAAAUAAGGAGAGAGGGGCUGCAGAAAGCGUUCUGUGCCCCAACAGCCUCCACCCCUCCCUGCAGCCAGCGAGGGCGGAUGGGAGGCUGUCUGCCGCCAGAGCCUGGCCUGUGCCUCUCUGGAGGGCCUCCUGCCUGUGCCUCUAACACUGCACUGUUCACCAUGCCUGCGCCUGGGCACACUCAGAGGGUGUGCCCAGCAGAAAGCUUCAAGAACACUUUACCUGCCCCAGGCCAUUCCAGGUUGACCUUCAGAGGCCAGGCAGGCACAGGCUUCCCCUGGGCCACUCUCAGGUAGCCCCUGCAGAUUUUGAAUUAAACAUUUGAGGAUUUCACAUAGCAGAAAACCAGUUUUUUAUCCUGCCAGGAAAAACUUGAUGAUUUGGCAUUCCCACAGGCUGCCAUUGGUGGGAGGGGUGGGCUCAGGUCCAGGUUUAGCCCCUACAGCUGGCCUCACUCACCCACCACACCCCUGCAGGCCUCUGAGUAAGUGCCCUCCACUGCGGCUCCGUGCAGAGAAGUGUAUUUUUUAUGUAUUUUUAUUUUUAUUUUUUUGAGAUGGAGUCUCGCUCUGUUGCCCAGGCUGGAGUGCAGUUGCACCUCUCGGCUCACUGCAAGCUCCACCUCCCGGGUUCAAGCAAUUCUCCUCCCUCAGCCUCCAGAGUAGCUGGGAUUACAGGCGCCCGCCACCACACCUGGUUAAUUUUUGUAUUUUUAGUAGAGAUGGGGUUUUGUCAUGUUGGCCAGGCUGGUCUCGAACUCCUGACCUCAAGUGAUCCGAGAAGUGUAUUUUUUAAAUAAAGGAGUUGAAGGGACGCUAUGCUCCUUUUUCAUCCCUCAUGUUCAUUCCAUGGGCUGCAUCACAAUGGUGACGCUAGGACUCAUCUAAUAGUGACAACAUGAGACCCUAGGUAGCACUUACCCUCUGCUGGGCAUUACUCUGUCUCAGGAAACUGAGGCUCAGCGAACUUGAGAUCCCUCACCUGAGCCCUGCAGCUGGUGAGUGGUGGAGCUGGGACUCACACCCAUGCAGAGGAACACCAGAGCCUGAACCCUCCAUGGUCGGGCGGAUAUUUUUCCAAGCAUUCUCCUCCAGUCGGUCACUUCAUGAGCAUAAGGACAUGGUCCUCCGCCUGGGAACCCCGGGUGCCUGACGGUUCCCACAGCUCACAGCCUGCCCCUCUGUGUAGCCUUUGGGCUGUGGUCCCCCUCUGAUCUGAGGCCAGUCACCUCUGCAUGUCCGGGUUUCUGCCUGAUUCCAGUCCCUGCCAGGGCAAAGGUGGUCCCCCUGUUGAGGGGCAGGGAGGGAGGCAGCCUGUGCUUUCUGCUGUCUCCAUGUGCAGCCUGCGUGAAAGCCAGCAGCCUCAUGGUCCAGUCACGGCACAGUGUGACAGUCACAGACAGAGAGGCAGAAAAGACACACAGAACACACAGCUAUCUUUGUUUAGGCUGCCUCCUUUCCAGCCCUGAUUACUUCAGGACGACUCUUGGAUCUAACAUAACAGAGUGGUCUCCACACUUGGACACAGGAAGGGGAACAUCACACACCAGGGCCUGUCGUGGGGUGAGGAGAGGGGGGGAGGGAUAGCAUUAGGAGAUAUACCUAAUGUAAAUGACGAGUUAAUGGGUGCAACACACCAACAUGGCACAUGUAUGCAUACGUAACAAACCUGUAUGUUGUGCACAUGUACCCUAGAACUUAAAGUAUAAUUAAAAACAAACAAACAAAAAAAACCAGAGUGGUCUUCUUCUCUGCACAUUCCAGUGGCAAGACAGAGUUUAGGGGAUGCCAAGAGGCCAGCACCAUCCACGACUCACUCCAAUUUUCAUGUAAAGACUAGUGUGCCAAGUGCCGCCUAGAUGUGAGCUGUGCUGUCCAGCAUGAAGGUGAGACUCUCUAACCCUUAGCACUACUCCAUGCCCAAGACUGGAGUCACUGACCCAGCCUGGGGCCAAUGGCAGAAGGGCUGCCUGUACCCACACUUGACUUCUGGGGUCCUGAGAGAGAGGAGUGUCCCAACCUCUUAUUGCCCCCUUGGGGCAGAGGUUGGGCCCUGAGG